rnacentral:misc_RNA from 1 species
AAGUCGUAACAAGGUAACCGUAGGUGAACCUGCGGUUGGAUCAUUACAGAAAUGGAGGGGGCCUCGGCCCUGCCUACGCGCCACUGUAAAAGGUGGUCGCGUGGUAAUUCCAAACAUUUUGUGCACUGUUCUGUCUCUGGCGGCGGGGUGAGUGUGAGCGUACGCAAGUGCGUUCAUGGUUGCCUGUCAGUCUGGCGCAAAACCCAGGCCGUGGACAAACCGCCAAUUGUUUAAACGAACAUGUAUUUACAUUUUGAGUCUGAAGUUUACUUGUGUGCAAAAUAUACAAACAACUUUUGGCAACGGAUCUCUUGGCUCUC